GGAGGAGGAGCCUGUGUCCUCCUGCAUUUGUGGCCUUGCCCAUCAUGGAGCUAAACUUGCAGAGCUUGGAAGGAGGGCCAAGGUGUUCUGACAGGUUUAUGCAGACCAAGAAGAACAAGCAGCAGAUGGGAAAGGAGUCUGUCUCCUCAGCAGGACCAGCCUCUGCACAGUCCUGCAAAACAGCUUCAAAGACCAAAAUUCCAUCGCGCCAGACUUCCUCUUCAAGACUGCUAAGCUAAUGCAUGAUGAAGCCGGGAGCCAGCACCAGGUGUGUGGAUUGCAAAGCCCCGUUCUUCAUGUGAUGUGAAGGGUGUGUCACGGGAGACUGGGCAUGAGAGGAAGGCUGGCUUUCUGUUCAUCUUCCCCUCAGAAGGCCCCUUACUUUGAUGAGAGACAAUAGUGAAAAUAUUGCCCAGCUCUGGUUUACCCUAGCCUGCUAGGAGGCCGUGGGUAUAUGCCUUCUUGACCAUCUCCCAUCUGCCUCUAUUCCAAAGCAGACAAAGGCUCUGCACACACCAGGAAUGAAGAAACCAGCUUUCACCCAGUUAACGGGCAACAGGAGUAUUGAGACAACUCCAAGAGUCCGGACUCACAGACAAUUUCUCUCUGUGCCUUUUGGUUUGUGUUUGGAGUUUACAGAUGUGAAGCCACAGCUGGCUUCCCCGUUUUUCUGAGGGGCCCUGAGAGCCAGUCAACUGAGUUUUCUAUUGUCCUUUUUCACAGGUUUAAUAGCUGUUGGCAACCACGUUGCGUUAUUUUGUUCACAUAAUUAUUCACUGAGCGCGAACAUACCCUGGAGCGCCUCAGCUGUGGCCAUGUUCGCCGGACGCUAGGAAGUGGCUCAAACCUGUGUGUGUAUGUGUGUUUGUGUGUGUGUGUGUGUGUGUGUGUGUGUGUGUGUAUGUGUGUGUGUGUGUGUGUGUGUAAUGAGGAAAAAAAGGGUUGUUUGUUUCCUAAUUAGAAGCAUCAACCAUUGAGAACGAAGACUGACACAUGUUGUCUGUGUGACAUAUGUGAGUUGGAUUCACCCUGCAUUGUCAUGACUGGGGCCCUGACAUUUGCCUGGUCUUCUGUAGUUCUCUCAGCAGAGAAAGAAAAGCAGUCUGGCUUCCCUGGUGGUGGCAGAGACCACAGAGCCACGUGGAGGACCAUGGCUCACCUCCUCUGUGAGCUAGAGUCGUGUCUGUUCCUCCUCAGCUUGUCUGGGCAGCAACAGCCAUGAGUUGUUGAACAUUAAAGAGCAAAGACAUUAGAAAGAGAAGCUGCUAAGCUGCAGCCUGUUCUCUGUCUCCAUGUUGAACAAGGUGGGACGGGGAGGAUGGCUGUGAGAAGGAUGGCUCCUUUCCUUUCAGAACGCAGAAGGGGCAGUCUAGAAGCUCAGGCCAGGAGAGGCCAAGGGGAAGCUGAGGGAUUUGUCCGGAUGGGUGCGACCAGGCCGCUCAUGGUGGCACCCACCUCCACGUGUGGGAACGUGGUGUUGGGGGUUUGCUUCUUGAUAGAAACAAACUUACGAGUAGAGGGAGGAGAGAAUCUUGUCUUGGUACACCUCUGAGGAUGACAUUCUAGGCCUUUGAGGUAAGAAUAGGAAGGGCUUUAAUUCCCCACUACAGGCUACAUGGAAGGGUGGUGGCUGUGUUCUCCACGGAGGAAGUGUCCAGUCAGGCUUGUGUUUCAGGGACUCCGGACAAGUUAACUGGAUCUCCACUCAGCCUAGGAGAUGCCCUGUACACCAGGGUGUCUGGGCAGCUCCCUGGUUGUGACUUUUGACCGGAUAUCUGCUGCCAGCCAGGACUCUAGGUGUCUGUGGUAGUGGUGGUCUUCGUCUCCUUGGCUGUAAAAUGAAGCUUCUAACUGCAGUCCCCAUCCUGUUUGGAAGGUGGUUACUUUAUAUGCUGGGAGCAGUCAGGCUUUAGCAACAGCUCUGCCAUCUACCCAUGUGUGGAUAAAGAAACGUGGUAGAUACACAGCGAGAAACCGAUUAACUGCAGCACAGGGGACCUCCGGACAUGAUGCUAAGUGAACUAAGCCAGGCACAGGAGGACAUAUUCCACACCACCUCAUUUCUGGGUUGGGGAUGGGAGGGCUGGGAAAUGUUGGUGAAAGGGUGUAAAGCUUCAGUUUCACAUAGUGAAUA